GUACAUGCCUAUAGCAUAGCAUUAAUUCAUUGGAUCCCAUUUGAACUUCAUAGUUAAUCAUGCUCGGGAUAGAGUAGUACUUGGAUGGGUGACCACCCAGGAAGUCCUAGUGUUUUACAUG
rnacentral:rRNA from 1 species